UGAGGAAUAUUGGUCAAUGGGCGGGGAGCCUGAACCAGCCAAGUCGCGUGAGGGAAGACGGUCCUACGGAUUGUAAACCUCUUUUGCCGGGGAGCAACGGGGUCC
rnacentral:rRNA from 1 species